UCCGUAGGUGGAUCAAUCAGUCAGAGAUGAAAUCCUGCAGCUUAACUGUAGAACUGCCUUUGAUACUGUUGAUCUUGAGUCAUUAUGAAGUGGUUAGAAUGUGUAGUGUAGCGGUGAAAUGCAUAGAUAUUACACAGAAUACCGAUUGCGAAGGCGGAUCACUAAUAAUGUACUGACACUGAGGGACGAAAGCGUGGGGAGCGAACAGGAUUAGAUACCCUGGUAGUCC
rnacentral:rRNA from 1 species